rnacentral:tRNA from 1 species
GGAGAGAUGGCUCAGUGGUUUAGAGCAAUGACUACUCUUCUAAAGGACCUGGGUUCAAUUCCCAGCACUCACCU